rnacentral:rRNA from 1 species
UACGUAGGUGGCAAGCGUUGUCCGGAUUUACUGGGCGUAAAGGGCGUGCAGGCGGUUUGUUAAGUGCAGGGUGAAAGCUCCCGGCUCAACUGGGAGAGGUCCUUGCAUACUGGCAAACUCGAGGGAGGCAGAGGAAAGUGGAAUUCCCGGUGUAGUGGUGAUAUGCGUAGAUAUCGGGAGGAACACCUGUGGCGAAGGCGGCUUUCUGG